rnacentral:lncRNA from 1 species
GGGUCGUCAUCAUACCAAGUUCUGUUAAUGUUCACAGACAGUACUCCAUGGUCGAUUUUCACACUUCCCACCCUAUUUGGGUUGGUAUCGAACCAUCGACACUUAAACAUGAUGACUUGGUAUCGAUCUUUGUAAAGCAAUUGCACGACAGUUGUCAGUUUUCCAUAGAAAUCAAUGUCCGUACUUUCGCUUCCACCUGGGACAUGAACACCGCUGUUUUGCGUACACAACUUGUCAUCUCGUGCGGCCCCC